UGAAUACGAGAUGCUACGGCGUCGAAGCAGUCUAUGUCAUACUUCCAAGAAAAGCUUGCACUGUCAUAAACAAAUAAUGCCUGUACCAUAACCGACACAGGUGGGUAGGUAGAGUAUACUAAGGGGCGCGAGAUAACUCUCUCUAAGGAACUCGGCAAAAUGACUCCGUAACUUCGGGAGAAGGAGUGCCUUAUUUAUAAGGUUGCAAUAACAAGACCCAAGCAACUGUUUAUCAAAAACACAGGUCUCCGCUAAGUCGUAAGACGAUGUAUGGGGGCUGACGCCUGCCCAGUGCCAGAAGGUUAAAGAAGUUGGUUAGCAUUAGCGAAGCUGAUGACUGAAGCCCUGGUGAACGGCGGCCGUAACGAUAACGGUCCUAAGGUAGCGAAAUUCCUUGUCGGGUAAGUUCCGACCCGCACGAAAGGCGUAAUGAUUUGGGUACUGUCUCAGAGAGGGACUCGGUGAAAUAGACUUGUCUGUGAAGAUGCGGACUACCUGCACCUGGACAGAAAGACCCUAUGAAGCUUUACUGUAACCUGAAAUUGAAAUUGGACUUUAUUUGCGCAGUAUAGGUGGGAGGCUUUGAAGAUAUUCUUGCGGGAAUGUUGGAGCCAUCAGUGAGAUACCACUCUUGUAAUGUUAGAUUUCUAACUUUGUAUCAUUAUCUGGUCAAAGAACAGUUUCAGGCGGGCAGUUUGACUGGGGCGGUCGCCUCCUAAACGGUAACGGAGGCGCACAAAGGUUUCCUCUGAACGGGUAGAAAUCGUAUCUAGAGUGUAAAGGCAUAAGGAAGCUUGACUGUGAGACCUACAAGUCGAGCAGGGACGAAAGUCGGUCUUAGUGAUCUGACGGUGCUGAGUGGAAAGGCCGUCACUCAACGGAUAAAAGUUACUCUAGGGAUAACAGGCUGAUCUCCCCCAAGAGUUCACAUCGACGGGGAGGUUUGGCACCUCGAUGUCGGCUCAUCGCAUCCUGGGGCGGUAGUACGUCCCAAGGGUUGGGCUGUUCGCCCAUGAAAGCGGUACGCGAGCUGGGUUCAGAACGUCGUGAGACAGUUCGGUCCAUAUCCGGUGUAGGCGUUAGAAUAUUGAGAGGAGCCUUCUCUAGUACGAGAGGACCGAGAAGGACACACCUCUGGUGUACCAGUUAUCGUGCCAACGGUAAACGCUGGGUAGCUAUGUGUGGAGCGGAUAACCGCUGAAAGCAUCUAAGUGGGAAGCCCACCUCAAGAUAAG
rnacentral:rRNA from 1 species